rnacentral:tRNA from 1 species
GCAUUGGUGGUUCAGCGGUAGAAUUUCCACCUUCCACAUGGGAGACCUGGGCUCCAUUCCUGGCCAAUUCU